GUAGCCAUCCCUUCUUGCCUUGAUUUGGGUCCUUGGGCUAGAAUUUCGAAUAUUUUGGCUUGUCUGUGCUGAGCACUUCAACCUCUAAAGAGAGAGACAGAGACACGGGUAUUGGGUACAUAUUUAUAUUAUGCUGUUCACCUUGGACUUUGGCUGACCUUGAGCAAAUCAUUUGCGCUUCAGGUUUCCUUUGCUAGUUUGAUGGUCUAUGUGGAUGACAAUGCAUUAUAAUAUGUUUAAUAAAAUGUAAGCGAUUAUUAACAAAACCCGACAUUUGUCAAGGGUUCCAAAGUGCAUUGCAUUUCCAGACAUUAUCUCACCAAGCCUCACGAGUGCCUGUGAGGUUUUCUGUGCCCUGGACCCAGGUAGAGGUGACAGAGGGAAAUCUGAAGUACCGGUUCUUGCUGAAAGGAUGAAGAAGCAUCUCCAGUUGCCCUUAAGACAUUUUUGAAAUGUACACAUCUGGGACUAAGGAAUGCAGCUGAGAGAUGAAGCCUUGCCUAGCACAUGCAAAGCCCUGAGUCUGGAUAUCCAGCACUGAAAGGAAAAGGGGUUGAAGAAGAGCCCAGUGAACCAUGUAGGCGAAGGAGGAAAACAAGGGGCAUGGAUUUUUAUAAUAGAAAAGGCCUCUUUCUAGACCUAGAAGUUAUCAUCUGUUUUUACCCAAGUGUGCUGAAACUUGGCUGUCCCAUGGCCUAGAGGGUUUUGACAUAUUUACCUAGAGAGCACUACCCAGCCUCUGGCUGAGGGUAGAACCUGGGGCCUGGAGCAUGCUAAGCAGUGCUCUAUCUCUGAGCUACAUCCCUAGCUCCCUUUCUAUUUUUACACUGGCUCCUGAGAAGUUGUCCAGCCAGGCCUUGAACUCAUCCUGUAGCCCAAAUAGGUUUCGACCCUGUGGUCUUUCUGCCUCAUUUUCCACAGUGGCUAUGGAUUGAUCAGGCCUGGUUCUUAGCACUUUCUGUCUCAGUGCUGGGAAUCUGAAGAUGAAAAUAAGCCAGAAUGGGUCCAGCCCAGAAUGGAACCGCUUCCAUUUUCUCCUAGGUGUCCUAGUUUCCUGAUGCAGUUAGCCCCCAAAGCCUUAAGAGGCAGCAGUGCUUGUUCAAGACUCCCUGCAGCAGCAUGCCUGACUCCGAGGCAAUCUGUUUCUUCUCUUGAGCUCUGGCUUCUCACCUGUCAAAUGUCCAUCUUAAAUCACACUCUUCCUGCAGAGCCUCCUUGUAAGAUCCCUUCUGUGAUGCAGGGCUGUAAAAGAGGCCAGUCCUGACCCCGAUCUCUUGCAGCACUGAACCCUUCCAGGAGCAAGAGGAAAGCCAAGCCUAAUGCUACAUACACCCUGUCCACACUCUUUGUCUGGUCCUUGGAAGGUUUCCUCUGGGUGACCAGCCUAGCACCUCUGUGUUGGAGUGACAAUCUAAGCAGUAACUGUCUCUCAGCCCUGGAGUCAGAGCAAGACAAUAGCAUAGUUGGGUCCUUCCUUCUGGGCUCUCCUAGGGAGAUGAUUUCCCCUCCCGGAUUCCUGG
rnacentral:lncRNA from 1 species